rnacentral:rRNA from 1 species
UACGGGGGGAGCAAGCGUUGUUCGGAUUUACUGGGCGUAAAGGGCGCGUAGGCGGUCAGCACAAGUCAGUUGUGAAAUCUCCGAGCUUAACUCGGAAAGGUCAACUGAUACUGUGCGACUAGAGUGCGGAAGGGGCAACUGGAAUUCUUGGUGUAGCGGUGAAAUGCGUAGAUAUCAAGAGGAACACCUGCGGCGAAGGCGGGUUGCUGGGCCGACACCGACGCUGAGGCGCGAAAGCUAGGGGAGCGAACGGG